rnacentral:lncRNA from 1 species
AUGAAACCAAGUGUUUCUUCAAUGGUAGAUGUCAAUUUCAGGAACUCUGUUAAAAGUAGUUUAUCAUCCUGAAACUCACGAACAGGUCAAAGCUUGCCCAAAACCUAGUUCUAAAAUAGCAAUUCUUCCCUUGCUAACCAUUUUGUGUCUGAUUAAUGAGGUAGAUUAAUAAAAUGUAUUGUGACAUUUCACAGAACUAGUGCUAACAUUUGAGUACCAAUGGCCAGAAAACAAGUUUGGAGCUCUAGAAACAUGCUUACCCUGAACAAAGGCAUGUGUGAAACAUAGUAGAGGUGUGAAGAAGAUUCCUGAAAUCUCACAGGUGAAAUUUCAGUCAUUUGAUUGGCAAUGACCAAGAGGACAAGGCUUCGGAAGAGGACUAAGAUGAGAAGGAUUAAGAUGGUAACUUCCACUCAGAAGGCUAUGUUGGCUUCAUGGGCAAGAAGUGCUGCAAGAGCCAUUUCACCCACAGCUGUGAAUUUGUGUUCCAGUCUACCUCUGUUGAAACCUUUCUGUGGCAAGCCUCUGACAUCAGGCAAUGUGGGGUCCAUGGCAGGCUUCUCUGUAAAGGGUUAGGCUCACCAGUAGAUCUAUGCACGUCAGACCUGGGUGCACAACACUUAAACAAGAGCAUUUCUUUUACCAGUCUGCACUUUUCCAUCCCCAGACUUGGAGGGUAACAUUGUUCCCUAAAUAUACUUACAGGAAUAACAAA